rnacentral:rRNA from 1 species
UACGUAGGGGGCAAGCGUUGUCCGGAUUUAUUGGGCGUAAAGAGCGUGUAGGCGGUUUGGUAGGUCCGCUGUGAAAACUCGAGGCUCAACCUCGAGACGCCGGUGGAAACCAUCAGGCUAGAGUCCGGAAGAGGAGAGUGGAAUUCCUGGUGUAGCGGUGAAAUGCAUAGAUACCAUAAAGAACCCUAUUGCGAAGGCAGCUUACUAGGCUGUAACUGACGCUGAGGCACGAAAGCGUGGGGAUCAAACAGG